ensembl:lncRNA
GUGUGGGGUAGGUGGGGGUGUGCUGUGUUCUGUAAAGCAUUGUGGUAUAGGAGUGGGUGGGGGCGUGCUGUGCUCUGUGAAGCGGUGUGGGGUAGGUGGGGGCGUGCUGUGUUCUGUAAAGCAGUGUGGUAUAGGAGUGGGUGGGGGCGUGCUGUGCUCUGUGAAGCGGUGUGGGGUAGGUGGGGGCGUGCUGUGUUCUGUAAAGCAGUGUGGUAUAGGAGUGGGUGGGGGCGUGCUGUGCUCUGUGAAGCGGUGUGGGGUAGGUGGGGGCGUGCUGUGCUCUGUGAAGCGGUGUGGGGUAGGUGGGGGCGUGCUGUGUUCAGUAAAGCAUUGUGGUAUAGGAGUGGGUGGGGGCAUGCUGUGCUCUGUAAAGCGGUGUGGGGUAGGUGGGGGUGUGCUGUGUUCUGUAAAGCAGUGUGGUAUAGGAGUGGGUGGGGGCGUGCUGUGCCCUGUAAAGCGGUGUGGGGUAGGUGGGGGCGUGC